ensembl:lncRNA
CUCAUGCUCCCAUGACCGCUCGGUGGAAACGCGCCAUCACAGAGGAAUCUGAAAUAUCGCAAGUCAUACUACACGUUAAUAUGAUUUAUAGGCAGAGAUGAGAAGGGCAGAGUUGGAAAGCUAAUGCAAAAAUGUGUUUCUUAUUUUAUAGGUUUGGUCAAGGUACAGUGACCCAAAGUAGGCCAUGUCGUUUGUGAAAGCUGCCUCGGAGAGCUGUUCACCUGUCCGGUGUAGGCCUACAAGAAAAUCUGAGGUCAAGCGACAACGGAUGAUGGGCACUUAUGUGCCAUAUAAUCAGAGUCCUUACAGAAACUGUAACUACGCCGAACAGUGGAGAGCCAGCCCAUUGCAGGUAGUACACCCGUUUGCGGAGCCAGCCCAUUGUAGGUAGUACACCUGUUGGCGGAGCCAGCCCAUAGUAGGUAGUAGCCUACAGCCGUUGGCGGAGCCAGCCCCUUGCAGGUAGUACACCCCGGAGCCAGCUCAUUGUGCGUCGUUCUUCCAAGUAGCAACGGUAUUGAUUUUACCAUAUAAAAUCUGGAAUCAGUUGACCUUUUCAACAUAUUUUCCUAUUUUUCAUGGAAACCGAUCUUCAAGACCCUGCGUGCCGCUCCAGGUUUUCAAGUAGGCUAUUGCACCUCCAGGAGGCGUGCUAGGAAUUUUCUGGAUCCUGCGAUUGUCCACAAAUGGAAGACUGAUGACUGAUGAGAGUCUUUUCCAGAAGUUACCCCAGGGUGGAAAGAUUGCAAUUUGCAGAGAUAUGCUGGCAGAUUCCCUAGGAUUACAACAUGUUGAACCAUGAAUCAGGAUUACUAUGCGUCAUGUUCAUCUCAUCUGCAAUUUUAUGAACUCGCCAGCAGAGCAAUGAGUUUAGCAUGAUGAGACCGCCAUAUGAAUCUGGAAAAAAGGAAUAAAGACAGCGAGGAUGCAGGGAGGUCAGCAAGGCUACAGUUGAAGAUCAAGGUAAAUCAGUUCUGAUUUAUUUUAAACUU